GAUGAAGAACGCAGCAAAAUGCGAUAAGUGAUGUGAAUUGCAGAAUUCAGUGAAUCAUCGAAUCUUUGAACGCACAUUGCGCCCGCCAGUAUUCUGGCGGGCAUGCCUGUUCGAGCGUCAUUUCAACCCUCAAGCACAGCUUGGUGUUGGGACUCGCGUUAAUUCGCGUUCCCCAAAUUGAUUGGCGGUCACGUCGAGCUUCCAUAGCGUAGUAGUAAAACCCUCGUUACUGGUAAUCGUCGCGGCCACGCCGUUAAACCCCAACUUCUGAAUGUUGACCUCGGAUCAGGUAGGAAUACCCGCUGAACUUAAGCAUAUCAAUAAGCGGAGGA
rnacentral:misc_RNA from 1 species